ACAUACAAGGCUCUGGCACAUUCUGUGAUUAGUUACUGCAUAACCGUAUGGGGAGGUGCAGCCAAAACCCAUUUAAUUGCCCUUGAAAGAGCUCAGAGAUCAUUGUUAAAAGUGAUGUUCUUUAAACCUUUUCGAUAUCCCACUUUUUCACUACACUCCAGCUAUAAAUUACUCACAAUUAGACAGACAUAUAUAUUUAACUGUAUAAAUAAAAUUCACCAAAAGCUGCCGUUCCAACCACACAACACUUCAAAACGUAGAACUACUAAAGUUUGCCAAUAUACACGAAGCAGAACUAAAUUUAUAAGAAAGCAAUAUGUCACAAAAUUAAUGCUUUGACUCAUAAUAAAUUGAAACGGGUGGUAACUGAUACCUUGCUGGCCCUAGACUAUGAACAAACUGAACUUUUACUUAAAGAUAACUUUUCUUAAAUACGGACGCAAUUAUUUUAAAUAAAACACAAACUGAUAAUACACACGCGCACACACACUCACACACACACACACACGCACACACACACACGCACGCACACACACACACACACACAAACACACACACACACGCACAUACACACACACUAAAUAUAUUAUAAUUUAUAAUUCUGUUAUUUGUUAACUACGGUUGUUCUGUGUGGUGAAUGAGCGGGGCACCCAGUAAUACGGGUUUUCCACCUAGUACAGGGGCCCUUGCUACUUGUUUGUAAGACUUAGUUGACGAAUAAAGAUUUUUUCAUUUU